ACAUAUGCUCCAGCAACAUUACCAACGGUGUGGAGAGGAAGUCUACCCAAAGACUUCAUUGUUCCAAAGUCUGCAGAAAGGAUACUUUUUUGUGGUUGGCGGCGAGAUAUGGAAGAUAUGAUUAUGGUAUUAGAUGCCUUUCUAGCACCUGGUUCAGAGCUUUGGAUGUUCAAUGACGUACCUGAAAAUGAGAGGGAAAAGAAGCUUAUUGAUGGUGGCCUGGACAUCAACAGGUUGGUGAAUAUAUCGCUGGUUAAUCGAGAGGGAAAUGCUGUUAUACGGCGUCACCUGGAGAGUCUUCCCUUGG
rnacentral:misc_RNA from 1 species